UUUAUGCAAAAUAUAUCCGCUUAUUAUUAACGUUUUCCCACUCAUUCACGUCAUAAAAUGAUUUUAAAAGACUCCUGGUGAUCAAAUUUGAGUACGAAGCCUUGGUUAAUGCGAAUCAAAUGUUUUGUCUGCCUUCUGUCUCGGUUGUAUUAAACCGAUUGGAACCAACGACAGAGUCACUUUCCAUUGUUUUUUUUAGUGUGUCCCAGGAGCUUGAAAGACG